CCUACGGGUGGCAGCUGUGAGGAAUAUUGGUCAAUGGACGAGAGUCUGAACCAGCCAAGUAGCGUGAAGGAUGACUGCCCUAUGGGUUGUAAACUUCUUUUAUAUGGGAAUAAAAUGUUCCACGUGUGGGAUUUUGUAUGUACCAUAUGAAUAAGGAUCGGCUAACUCCGUGCCAGCAGCCGCGGUAAUACGGAGGAUCCGAGCGUUAUCCGGAUUUAUUGGGUUUAAAGGGAGCGUAGGUGGAUUGUUAAGUCAGUUGUGAAAGUUUGCGGCUCAACCGUAAAAUUGCAGUUGAAACUGGCAGUCUUGAGUACAGUAGAGGUGGGCGGAAUUCGUGGUGUAGCGGUGAAAUGCUUAGAUAUCACGAAGAACUCCGAUUGCGAAGGCAGUUCACUGGACUGCAACUGACACUGAGGCUCGAAAGUGUGGGUAUCAAACAGGAUUAGAUACCCGUGUAGUC
rnacentral:rRNA from 1 species